UCGGGCCCGGCUCGGCCGCGAGCUGCCACGUUACUAAGUUUGGAGAAAAGCCGCUGGCUGGUAGCACGAGGGGGAGCGGGCGGCAGGGGCCCCCCGCGGUGCGCCCUGCCCUGCUCGCUCUUUUGAUCGCCGGAGAGCGACGGUCCUGCAGGGCUUGGCUCCUCGGGGUGGGCCUUUCCGGUCCCGAGACGGGCUCAUCCGCCGGCCCCGGCUGCCUGGUCUGAGCGCGGGGCGCCCGCACCGUUCAGAUCGGCAACCGGUGCCUCGCACCACCACUUUGAGAAGCACUGCUCUACACGACAUGGUAGUAUGCCCCAGUUAGGCCUCCUGCAGCCUCAGCCCGGUCCACCACUUUAAAUGACAACAGGAGAGUGACAGAGAGAGAUGCAAAGAGCCUCUGCGUCUCAGGAGCACUGGAUAACACACCAGCUCAUGGCACAGCAGCUUCAAAUUAGAGAGAAACAGAAGAGGCUUAAAUCAAUGUUUAGUUUGCACUAAACAAAGCAAACACUUUCCUGAGAGAGACUACAAGAUAACAUCAGAAAACAACAAAGAACAUUUCAAGACUGGAAUAAAACACAGCUGCUCCUUUGCUCUGAAGUGAAAUGAGUCGGCAGAGGUGGGGAAUGUUGUUCAUCCUUUGACAUACUUAUGCUACAAGUUUGCCAAUAUAAUCAAUGCAGGCUUCUUAUUUGGGGAAUCUUUACCUACUUAAACCUUGGGGGAUUCUUUUAAAAAAUUUGCAGAAGUCUAUUGAGAAAUAUGGCUUUGAGCAGGUACUUCUUUAAGAUGAAUGGAUGAUGCUCAGCCAAUGCCCUGACUGCGGAAUAAACUCCCUCUAGAGGUGGUGCAAUCACCUACUCCGGAAAUCUUCAAGCAGAGG